UACGUAGGGAGCAAGCGUUGUUCGGAUUUACUGGGCGUAAAGGGCGCGUAGGCGGCGCGGUAAGUCACUUGUGAAAUCUCUGAACUUAACUCAGAACGGCCAAGUGAUACUGCAGUGCUAGAGUGCAGAAAGGGCAAUCGGAAUUCUUGGUGUAGCGGUGAAAUGCGUAGAUAUCAAGAGGAACACCUGAGGCGAAGGCGGGUUGCUAGGCUGACACUGACGCUGAGGCGCGAAAGCCAGGGGAGCAAACGGG
rnacentral:rRNA from 1 species